rnacentral:lncRNA from 1 species
CAGCCCGGCUCUUUCCUCACUUGUGCCAAGAAGGGAAAACGCAGCGGCUCCCUCGUUUUAACGGGGUGACCUAUGUUAAUGAAGUUAUAGCAAUUAAUUCGCCUCUUUGUGGCUCUCUCCGAGCCUGGCUGGCUGUGUGCAAUCAAAUGUGGUUGUCCUUGGACUUAGCGCAACCACCGACCGCUGCCGGUGCAGCCCGAGCUGGCGCUUUGCAGGAGCAGGAGCCUUGUCUCUUUGAACAUCUGGACUGGUGUGCAACUGCAUUCACUGGGAAGAGAAGCCCACAUGGAGCACCAGGUGCGAAGCUGAAGGCAAGACUAAACUCUUAUUAGCUCCAGAUGUGCUGGCCCAACAUCGAGGGGAUGCUGCUCACCCAAUUCUGCUGGCUUUGGGAGAGAGCUCUGGGGUCCCCAGUCUCAUUACUUGCAUGGAGGUCAGCAUGUGGGCUCCGAGCCGUUUCAUUCGCGGUUUCCUAGAGGAGGAACAAACCUUCCCCUUAUCAUCCUGUUUCAAAGAGGGAUUCAGCGCGGGGAGUCACGAGCACGGAGGCAAGGCAGCUCGCUACCGCUGGGCUUGCAUCAGGGCCUCCUCCGAGUGACGACGGCUGCGAGCGGUGACAGGAGCCAUACCCCGACCUCCAGGCCCGUCGGCGGCGGGUGCUGCUGGCUGCGCUGCCGGCGCCUUCCCAAAAAACAAGGGGGGAAGUUUGGUCCGCUGGGGGGUGGAUUAAUGCAACCUGACGUGAGCGCUGCUAAAUAAUGACAGCGCCAAAAGCAACCUCGGCGUGGAUGGGGACGGCGAAAAGCGCAGCGGGGCUCGCUGCCCAUCAGGGGAUGGCCCCGUCGGGGGCAGCGGCGGUGGCAGGGAGAGCAGGGUGGACUCCUUCUUGCCGCUGCCAUGUGUGGUUUUGGGCUGGUAACAGCCACAGAGAGCACUGCCCAAGUGAUGCCUUCUUUCAGAGGCGUGGGUGAAUCUUGCGCGGCUAAUUGGCGUUGGUAAUUGCGUGCUCAGCCUUAGCUUUGGCCGUGGUUGUUUUCCAUACCUCCUCGCCGUUGCCUUUUCAUUGCCAGCACCAAGGUGAAUGUAACUUUGCAUUCGGGCAGAAUAUCUAUUUCACCUGUUUUCUUGCUGCUUCAUUCCCUUUUAUUUUAAAAUUUUAAAGGCUGACGCUAGAGGUAUUUUCCACCCCUGUACAUGCUGUCUCACACCUCUCGCAGAUCCUCAGGGUCCGCAAUGGGCACAGGGAUUGCAGAUUUCGUUUAAAUCCAUGUUCUGGGAAGAAUAACCUCGCAGGGAAAAGUUGUUUUGUACAGCCCCGAUAUCUCUCAUUAGCCAGCAAACACAAAGGAAUGGAACAAGACUUCUCUGAUUAUUUUAGUGUUUUUUCCCCCCCUUAACUACUGAAUUUACACACAAAAAGAAAGGCACUUUGUAUUUAAGGUUAAUCAAGUUUCAGUACAAUUUUUUACAAACUGGAACCACACUAAUCUUUUUUUUCUUGCUCUAAUGUGUGGCUGUUGAAAUCCUUAGCUGUGAUAAAUUAAGCUACUUAUUAAUCUAAUUAUCGUACAUUCAUCCUAGAAACUUUCAUGUGACUUGAAAAGGCUAUUCAACCUUUUCCCUCCCCUCCUAGAAAGGGCUCAACCUUGCACCAAUUAAGAUCAUUCUGAAGUAAUGCUUUAAAAAAGCUUUCUUUAAUCACCCAGUGGAACAUGGGCUGAUGGUAAGCAAACUAAAAGCUGUGAGAAAAGUUUACCUU